AGGCGCGCGCGGGAGGAGCUGGAGCACGCUAGCAGAGGCAGCGGCGUCGGCGGAGCGGAGCCAGGCGCGACCGGCCGGCCGGAGCGGCGGCGGAGCGCAGACGUCGGGGGCGCUCGGGAGAGGAUGGACGGCGAGGCGGCGCUGUUAGCAGAUGGCGAGGCGAACGGAGUUGCAAGCCAGAGCAACGGCGAGGCUUACGCAGCCGGUGAGCCUGAGGCGCGCGCACAAGCUGAGCUAGUACGAAUGCUGCUGCUGAAUCCAUUGGGUUCGCUAGCUAGCUAUGCACGAACGCGUGUAUGCACAGGGACCGAGCGCUACAGGAGAGACGGUAACGCCGCGGCGGAGGCGAUGAAGAAAAAAGGGUCCCUCCCGGAAAGCGGUUCCAACAGCAGCUUGCCCCAUGGUGUGCGUCAACUGUCAAAGUAUUCUCGCGUCAGUCCGCAGGGGUAUCACGAGUCGACAGAUGCCACGGGGUGGCUUGAGGUGAGAGCAAGACUGUCGUGGAAUAUCCGGGGACAGGUAUGCAAGUAGCACGCGCUAAUUUACCCAGGUUCGGGACUGUCCGGAAAGACAAUACCCCUACUCUUGUAUGUCUAAAUAUAUAGUAUACAUGUCUAGCAAUACCGAGUUGCUCCUGAAGCUGUAUCUGGGAUCAGUGCCAUAGACAUCUGACUUUGUAUAUGCGGGUGGCCAGAUGGCCAUACAGGCUCUUGUGGCCGUGGGAGUUCAUCCUCCUGGAUGGAUGGAUGUGCGGGACACGGAGUAAUUGCGCUAGAGCUCAUAUGCUCGCGAUAUCAGGUGCGUCCGUGCAGGCAUUGGGAUGUGGACUAAUUUUUUAUACGAUGCCUGUUGGAUUGUGGGAAAAUGCGUGGGGUAAGAUAAUACGUAUGCGUCAGAGCUGUGAGGUGGGCCAAGUUAUGGGCGCCCGUCAACCUGUGACGGACUGAGCCGUGGGUCAGAACCGCUAGAAUCUAUGUGAUCCGUGGCCCAGAAAGUUUACUUUCCGUCACAGGACGCCAGAUUCGUCUUGAAUGCAAACCCUGGCUCCUCUGCCUCAGCGCCGCAGAGGGGAGAGGGAGCGAGAAGAAGAACAGGCGACCCGACGCGCCAUGGAGUUCCUAAUGCAGCCAGUCCACAGACCCACUAUUUUUGAGGAGGUCGGGAAGAGCCUGGUGCCGGAAGGUUCGCCGGCAUUUGGGACAAGGCGAACGGCGGUUGAGGUGGUGCUGCACGAGGGAAUAGUUUUGAGCGGGGACGAGCGGGUCUGCCCGGCGUCAGGAGCGGCGACGUUGAGUGGCCAAGGACGAAUCUGUAGUGGUGCGCCGGCGGCGGCUAUGAGCGGCAAAGGACGAAUAUGCAGCGUGGUGCAGGCGGCAGUGUUAUCAGGUUGCGGAUUGGUGCUGCUGGCCCCAACAGGCACCUUGCACUACCUGUGUAAGCACGUUCGAGAAGGCAGUGGGGGUGUCCACGGAAAAGCCGACGGCAGAUAAUGUAAUCAUUCAAGUGCUGGGUACUGGUACCUUUGACUCGCUUGGAGAAGCAUAUGAUUUGUACAACUUGUAUUCUUGGGAGGAAAGGAUUUGGUAUAAGAUAUGGGAAAAGCUAGUUAAAUGUGGAGAGGGUGAAGUGCAUGCAGGAAAUUGUCUGCCGGUGUUCGGGGGAAAGCUGGUGUGGAGAACACAAGGUCCCUUCGGUGUGAAUGCCCAGCGUUGAUAAGGCUAUUAGCCUGUUACGGACUAACCACUCACUUUCACUAAAUUUCGGUGAGACUAUCCACUGGCCGUCCCAAAAGCACAUUGAUGUGUACAACAGGGACCUGAUAAAACAGUUGCGGUAGAAUAAUGUCAACCUUGCUAAGGUGUAUAGCAUAGUAGGUAGUAUUUUUGGAUCGAUGAAAAAUGUGUCAUUUGUAAAGAGGUCUUUGCGUAAUCUGUGCGGAUGUAAGGAAAGCAAUGGAGGUCUUUGCAGAAACUACAACUACAUCAUGAAUGAGCCCUGUGAAGUGGAGGACAGAUGGGUCAUGCUUGACCACUAUUACAGGGAAUACAAUGGUCUGUACCUUGAACGACGACUGGAAGAGGUGAAUUUUGAGUUGGGAAACGAUAAGCAUAGUAUGUACUCCUGUAUUGCAAAAAAACAAUUGUAGCACAAGUGAUUGCAAAACGAGUUGGCUUAUCUGAGAAGCAGAUUGCUUACAAAGUGACCUCGACGAAAGGGAACAAGGGUGAGCUACCAAGCUUCAUGAUCGAGGAAGUGUUGUUCUGAACUCUGAAGGUGGUGAUCAGUUGUGUUGAUUGACUAUGAGUACUAUAACGAAGACAAUGAGGUAGUAAUUAGGUCUUCCGCAUUUUGGUGGAGUUGUUACUUAGCUCGGGAGUGCUCCCAAUACCCACUUGGUUAAGUGCAAAAAAGUGUCGAGGACUAGUGGCAUGUAUUUUGUGUUCGUACCUUGUUGUCAACCGAGGUACGGACUAGUAGGCAAUCAAAUUAGGAGAAUGUUAGCUUCCAUCCCAGCUGUUGUGGCAAGGAAGUGCAUGAAAUCCCAGUUCUAUUUUGCCCAGCGUGUAAGCAGUCACUUCUAAUUUACAUUUGUGGCUUAUGUGUGAAAACAAAGAAUAUGUGUUCUC